ACUUAAGUGGCUCAGUCGGAAGAGCAUGAGACUUUUGAUCUCAGGGUCAUGAGUUCAAGCCCCACGUUGGGUG
rnacentral:tRNA from 1 species